rnacentral:rRNA from 1 species
GACGACCCGUGCGAACGUUGUUCGGAAUCACUGGGCUUAAAGGGCGCGUAGGCGGAUUGCCAAGUCAGGGGUGGAAUCUCUCAGCUCAACUGGGAAUUUGCUUUUGAUACUGGCAGUCUCGAGUGAGGUAGGGGCAUGUGGAACUCUCGGUGGAGCGGUGAAAUGUGUUGAUAUCGGGAGGAACUCCGGUGGCGAAAGCGACGUGCUGGACCUCAACUGACGCUGAGGCGCGAAAGCUAGGGGAGCAAACGGG